rnacentral:rRNA from 1 species
UACGUAGGAGCGAGCGUUGUCCGGAAUUACUGGGCGUAAAGAGCUCGUAGGUGGUUUGUCACGUCGUCUGUGAAAUUCCGGGGCUUAACCUCGGGCGUGCAGGCGAUACGGGCAAUACUUGAGUGCUGUAGGGGAGACUGGAAUUCCUGGUGUAGCGGUGAAAUGCGCAGAUAUCAGGAGGAACACCAAUGGCGAAGGCAGGUCUCUGGGCAGUUACUGACGCUGAGGAGCGAAAGCAUGGGUAGCGAACAGGAUUAGA